ACAACGUGGAUACACCCUGGAGGUCACUCUCCCUGGGCUCUGUCCAGGUGGCAUAGGGGAGCAUAGGACUUUGCCCCAUGAUGUACAGUCCCUUACUACGACGUUGGAGAUGAAGCUGGGCCUGAGUCUGCACCUGCAUAUUCCUACGACUUUCCAGAGUCUUGUAGACAAUGACUGGGGAGACCAACCAUACAGGAAACAGCC
ensembl:snoRNA SNORA73 Small nucleolar RNA SNORA73 family